GACACUCUGGGACACACAACCCCAAAAUGUUUUGUUUAAUGGUAAUGUCUUCAUUGUUUAAAGGGACACUCCAGGCUUUCACACGUACAAGUCCAUAAUCCAUCUAUUUUUAAAAAUUAAUCUCAAGUUUUGUGCCAUGAGCUCUCCCUCUGUUUCAACCUUCCAGUUUUUAAAUUUUUCUCCAAAAAUACUGUUGACCUUGAUGUUGCGACUCAGGGUUCUCAGAGCGGUAGUGUGGAUAAUUGUUUGUUGUUUUUUUUUUACAGGUGAAAGCUUUUAAUUAAACUACAACCUCCAUGAACCUUUCUGUUCUCAUAAAGCACUGCUUACAGUAUAAGCUCUGUGAAUGGUAAGUGGGCAUUUUGAAGUAGUUGAUGUGGCUGUAAAGUAUAUGAUUCAACUGUAUGUGGGCAUUAUGCUUAAAUGCAGACACUGAUUAUUGCCAUUUUUAGUAAGCCAUACUGCUGGCAAUGCCUUCAAGAGUCUUUCAAAUACCUAUAAACAAGGUAUUUGACCAUUUUUAUUUAUCUAUUUGUGACACCUACUGAAUGCAAGAAAAAUAGCAUUUUUGCUUUUAUACUAACAAUUUACCCUGUGUGAAAUAUUGUAAGAUAAAGGACAUUGUAUACUGUCUAUAUCUGUUCAUUUCCCAAAUAUUUUUUUUAUAAAUGCUGAACGAAUAAGUAAAAAUUAAAAAUGUUUGUAAAUUCACAAAAUCAUAAUUUAAAUGUAUACAUUUGUUUGUAGAGCAUUAUAUACACAAUUGCUGUGGUCUGAUAUGUUUAAAUACUAGCAAUGUAUCUCUUGCUUCAAAUACACCAUACUAAAAUGCUUAUAAUCAAAAAGCAUUGAAGGUAAAGCAAUAUUUAAUUAAUACACAACUCUGUUUAUAUUUUGAGAAUAUUCAGUGCCUGAUUUGUAGGCAUAUUUUAAUUCCCAGUGAUGACUCAGGUACAAUUGGUAAAACAUGUUGGGGAAUCAAUCACGGCAAAUUAUGAAGAAUAAUACCAUCAACUCACGGGGUUAUUGUCUGCCAAUGACACAGAAAGGGACAUUACAUAUUUCUGUACAUUCCGAGUGGAGUGUUUUUCCAUUUUCCUCUUGUUAUACCUGGUUAUUCAUUAAUAUAUGAUUUGUUAGGAAUUUAAAGUUCAUUUAGAAAUUUAGGCCACAGUUAUAAUACGCCUAUUUAUUAUUAUUACUUGGAAAAUAUUAGAUUUCAUCUUAUACAUAAGAAAAAAAAAGGUAAAAGGAAAUCAAAUUCUGUCUAUUUCGAACUUGUUAACCUUCCUGUAUUUUUCAGUUUGUCUGUCAGGUGAGCUGUCUUCUCACACUCACUGAUUUUUGUUUCCAUUUUGAUUUAUUAUCAUUUACCUUUCUUCUUUGUAAACUCAACAAGCCUGUUUCAGUAACAAUAUCAGCAUUACUGGCAUUCCCCCCAAACUCAGUCUCAUCACGUUACUUCUGCUGCAUUCAAGCUAUAUAUUAAACACUGUGACAACUAAUUAGGUUUGAACAUUUUUGGGGAAGAUGAGAGGCAGAGGCACGCUUUCUGGAAUUCACGGAAAAGAUGAGUGGAUUAUUCUGAAUUGAACAAAGUCAGUGGGAUAAACUAAGGAAAGGGUCAAGAACAUGAAGUCAGUCCUUAAAGGACCACUAUAGGCACCCAGACCACAUCAGCUCAAUGAAGUGGUCUGGGUGCCAGGUCCAUCUAGGGUUAACCCUGCAGCUGUAAACAUAGCAGUUUCAGAGAGAUAUGUUUACAUAUGGGUUAAUCCAGUCUCUAGUGGCUGUCUCAUUGACAGCCGCUAGAGGCACUUCCACGCUUCUCACUGUGAUUUUCACAGUGAGAAGAAGCCAGAGUCCAUAGGAAAGCAUUGAGAAUGCUUUCCUAUGGACUGACUGAAUGCGCGCACGACUCUUGACGCGCAUGCGCAUUCAUCGGAAGAGGGAGGAGAGUCCCCAGCGCCGAGGUAGCCCGGUGCUGGAGAAAGGUAAUUGAAUAACCUCUUCCUCCCCCUGGAGCCUGGCGGGAGGGGGGCCAUGAUGGUGGGGGGAUCUAUUAACACUAUAGUGCCAGGAAAACAAGUUUGUUUUCCUGGCACUAUAGUGGUCCUUUAACCCACAAAAUGUGCCUCAGUCACCUCAAAUAUGAGAAAAAACAUAUGUUAAACUACUUAGACAUGCCCCAAAACACAGACUGAUCCAUCCAUCCCAAUGUUAUUUGACCAUGAGCAAGCAUACAUAAAAGGGACACUAUAGACACCAAAACAACUUUAGCUUAAUGAAGCAGUUUUGGUAUACAGAUCAUGUCCCUGCAAUCUCACAGCUCAAUUCUCUGCUAUGUAGGAGUUAAAUCACUUUUGUUUCUGUUUAUACAGCUCUCACCACACGUCUCCCGGCUGUGACUCACACAGUCUGAAUGAAAAAAAACGGUGUAAUUUAAUCAGAUCACUGGCAUUAUAGUGUAUUUACUCCAGACGUUAUUUUAACUCCUGCUCUGUUAAUAGAACUUUAAUGACACACAGGAGGCUCCAGCAGGCUCUAGCAGGUCUUGAGUGAUUGAACUCUUCCUCGGGCUCCCUUCUGUCAGCUGGUGACAGAAUUGGUGGCCACAGACUGACCAAUGGUCUGAUUGUUGAGCUCAAAGUGAGCAUGUCAAGGUUUUGUGUAUGGAACCCAAAAAUGCAGAACUUGCACUAGCAAAAUAAUAAACAAAAGUCCAAACAAACAAAUUAAAUAGGGCAAGGCAAAGGCAGAGUCAGGCAAUCCCAGGUUCAAAGUCCAGGCAGCAAAGGUUCAGUAAGGGUGAGGCAAUCCAAGGUCAGGGAACAGAUAGUUGGAAAACAGGUAACACAGGUAACAGUAGGAUAUAGCACAGAACAACUGAGCAACAAAGACUCAGGUGUUCCAGGUUUAAAAAGGCAGCCAGAUUGAAAGCCCACCUACUUUGACAAGCUUUCAUAACACGCUAUUGGUGUAUGGGGCUGUCUAACAUCUGGGGAUGAAAUGAGGAAGUGAUUACCUAUUAAUUUGUUCCAGCCUUGCUGUUCUGCGGUGUGGAACGAUCGUGCAUGCCUCCCAGCUUCAAUGGUUGCCUGGUAGACAUGACUAGAUCGGAGUUCAUAGGUCGGGGCCCACCCCAUGCCAUCGCGCAUGCGUGCGUUAGGGCGGCCUCAAUCUGGAGAUGCCGCCAGAGCAGCAAGGGAACGAAGGUAAGUCCUGACAGAGUGUUGCAAACAGGUAUUUAAAUGGGGAUUUAAGUCCCCAUUAUUACAAAUCCAUUUGAGCAUGGUUAAUAACCUUCUCACACCAGGGAAUCACCGGUAUUAAUGGAGACUUGGGGCUCUUCUCUUUCACCUGGAGCCAAUUUUAGUGGCCCCAGACUGGCAGGUGAGCUGCAUGCAGAGCUCAGAGCAAAAUUGGCAUACAGCUCUUAUAGUGAGGAUUUAAAUCCCCAAAGACAGCGAUGUAGUGUGAGCAGGGUUAGACUCCUCUCUGUCAACUGGGGCCACCUUAGAGGAUCCAGUUGACUGAUAGUCAACACUGCAGCUGAACGAUCACGCUUAGCUACAGUGACUCUCUCACUGGAUAUGGUGAUUGGGAAACGGCAAGGGGGUUAAGCUUAAGUUGUUUUCGUGCUUAUAGUGUUCCUUUAAAUGUUACAUUAAUUCAGUGCCUAUAGAAACUUAGAAACCGGAUAUAAAUAAAGUUUGUGCUUUCGAUAAAUUGUAAUUGAAGUAUGUAUUAUAGGAAAUAAUAUCUUCAGAGUCUUUAUUUUCCCUGGAUAACAAUUUCAACAUUCUUUAUCUUUUAUAUUACACAGUCCCUGUACUGUACGGUGGUCGUCAAUCGUUUUGUGCAACAUGUGAGUCUAAAACUUGAUGCGCCCAUAGAAUUAAUGGAACUAAAUCAUAUUUUAAAACACAAUUUACAGAAAGAUAAAUGUAACUGACCAUAUAACAACACAUUUCUCCUUAACAGAGAGCAGAUCCCUGGCCGAGAAACUCCAACCAUUGAUAAUAGCGUAGAGUUGAAAAGGAUGGUCGUCUCAUUGGUCAGACUGUCCUCCGGAGCUGUUCAGUUAUCCACAGAUCGAUGCUGCAGCUGGCUGCAAAGUUAAACGUGACUUAACUCUCUUAAAGUAGAGGUUCUUGAAAAAAAAAAAGAGAAGUAUUUUGUUACCCAAACUGUGGUCAUCAUUGUAAAAAUAAAACUUCCUUAAAGGACAACUGUCCUCAAAUUUUUAAACCUCGUUUUUUAUUUCUUUUUAAAGUUGAUUAAAUCUAGCAAAAUUUUAAUGAAACCGUUCAACCUUACCUCUGCUUUGAUUGCCCUGUGCGAAACUGCAAGUUAAGCUGAGCGGCAGUUGGCCAGAUAACAGUAGAAUCUGACCCAACAUGGCUGCUUAGCCUGGUAAAAAAAAAAAAAAAAAGUAAAAUUUUCUAAAAAAAAAAAUCAAUAUGCAUCAUUUAAAAGAAAAUAAAAACAAUCAUUAUGUUUCAUUAAUGUAAUAAGCUUGAAAAAACAAACUAACCAAGAAGCGUAUAUUUGAUGACAAUUGUCCUUAAAAACCUUGGAUUACUAGAACUAUAGAUUUGGUGGACACUAGCUUACAUGACAUCUUUUUUGGUUCUCUAUAAUAUCCACCAGAAAGUUGUUGUUUUUUCAUCUCUAAAACCUUAUAAAUGUGUAAGGAUAAAGGUUGACUUAAUCUUCAUGACCAAUGCCAAACGAUGUAAUGCAGCUGAAUAGCGCAGUAACGUGAAGCACGUGAAUUAUAUUUUUUCUUUUCUUUUUUUUAACUUGUUCGAGUGACAUUUAAUAUGAUUUCAUUGUAGCUAUGCAAAUCUCUUUUCAGGUAAGUGAAAACAAGCUUUUCUGGUAGUUUUAUGUCACGUUUCUCAGAUUUUCUAUCAAUGAGUUAGUAAAUGACAACAUACUACAUGACCUCUGGGUGUAGUUUAUACGAACAGAUUUUGAGAUAAUCACUCUAGUAACGUUCUCAGACAGAAAAUUAAAUUUGCAAUGUAGACACAUCAAACACAAUAAAUUAUCUUUCUUAUUCUUGUGUUUGAGAGCAGUUACCAAGCUGGUAUUUUACUGGCAUUAGAGUAAAAAAGAAACAGAAAAAAGCGACAUUACUAAAGAUCAACUAACACAGCACAAAAGUAAUUUCAUUAAUCAGAUAAAAAAAAAUUAUAAUUCUUCCAUAUCAAUCUGCAGGUAGAAAUGGAAGCCAUGCUUUCUCAACUAAAGCUUACUGGAAGUGUGCGUGUAUAUGACGUCAGGGCGCGAUAACGCGUUUCGCCAGUAUAAUCCUUCCUCAAAUCUCUAAGGAAUAAUCUGAAGAAGCAGAAUAUGCUGACAAAACGCGGAAUCGCACCCUGACGUCAAAUGCACGCACGCUGCUAGUAAGCUCCAUCCCCCCAGUACGAUCAAAGCAUCUCUGGACACCCCACACAGCCGGCAAGUGACAGGGUGUCCAGAAGGAAAGAUUCAACUAAAGGGAACCAAGUGCAUGGGAGUAUUAACAGCCGUUGCUUUUAUUGCUGAUUGGUAUAAGGUCUGAGUAUCUUAACCACAGAACAUGGCAUAUUGUUUGGAGUGAAUAUUGUUAGAGCAGAUUGUGCUGCUCUGUGUCUGUGAGUGUUUUUCCUUCCUUUAUUUAUGACUUUAUGUGAACUGGCAAUAUUGCCCUAUUGUGUUUCUUUUUCUUUUUUGAGAUACUAAAUUGAAGCUAUCUACCUGUCUAAUCCAUUGUAUGUGGAUAUCCACUGAUCUAUCUACCUGUCUAAUCUAUUGCAGGACUUCUCGCGGGUGUCUCCCUUCCUAUGCAAUAGCCUGCCUCUCCGAUAGUCUUCAAUCCUUUAAGAAAUGCCUUAAAACCCAUCUCUUUAGGAAUGCUUAUGGCCUCCCAGAGUAACCUCUACCUUACAUACCUGUCUCUUGCUCUCUACUAUAGGGCAGCACUCUACUCUCUCCUCCAGCUCUGCUUUACUCCCAUCCUAUCUGAUUGCUAUUUCCUGUCCUAUUGUGUUUUACACCCCACCUCCUAUAGACUGUAAGCUCGUUUGAGCAGGGUCCUUUUAACCUAUCGUUUCUGUAAGUUUUCUUGUAAUUGUCCUAUUUAUAGUUAAAUCCCCCCCUCUCAUAAUAUUGUAAAGUGCUACGGAAUCUGUUGGCGCUAUAUAAAUGGCAAUAAUAAUAAUAAUAAUAUUCUAUCUACCCAUCUGAAUGCAUUGUAUGUGGAUAUACACUGAUCUAUCUACCUGUGUAACGCAUUGUAUGUGGAUAUACACUGAUCUAUCUACCUGUGUAACGCAUUGUAUGUGGAUAUACACUGAUCUAUCUACCUGUGUAACGCAUUGUAUGUGGAUAUACACUGAUCUAUCUACCUGUGUAACGCAUUGUAUGUGGAUAUACACUGAUCUAUCUACCUGUGUAACGCAUUGUAUGUGGAUAUACACUGAUCUAUCUACCUGUGUAACGCAUUGUAUGUGGAUAUACACUGAUCUAUCUACCUGUGUAACGCAUUGUAUCUGGAUAUACACUGAUCUAUCUACCUGUGUAACGCAUUGUAUGUGGAUAUACACUGAUCUAUCUACCUGUGUAACGCAUUGUAUGUGGAUAUACACUGAUCAAUCUAUCUACCUGUGUAACGCAUUGUAUGUGGAUAUACACUGAUCUAUCUACCUGUGUAACGCAUUGUAUGUGGAUAUACACUGAUCUAUCUACCUGUGUAACGCAUUGUAUGUGGAUAUACACUGAUCUAUCUACCUGUGUAACGCAUUUUAUGUGGAUAUACACUGAUCUAUCUACCUGUGUAACGCAUUGUAUGUGGAUAUACACUGAUCUAUCUACCUGUGUAACGCAUUGUAUGUGGAUAUACACUGAUCUAUCUACCUGUGUAACGCAUUGUAUGUGGAUAUACACUGAUCUAUCUACCUGUGUAACGCAUUGUAUGUGGAUAUACACUGAUCUAUCUACCUGUGUAACGCAUUGUAUGUGGAUAUAUACUAUAUAUGUUAGUGGAUUGUUGCACUUUACACUGUUUUUGCACAGUUAAUUAUAGCAGUUUGUUGUAUUAUUUGCACACUGCUGCAUUAGCACUCUUGGUAAUGUGCACUUUAAUAGGUAUUAUUGGCAUUUUAUUUAUAUUCACUUAUUUAUAUUAUAAAAUUAGUGGUUUUAACAUCACAUUGCACUAUUUGUGUAUUAUCUAUUGACCUAAAUACACAGUGCAUAUUUUAUUUCUUAUCUUGUGUGUUAUGAGCUUGUACAAAUUAUAGUUUAUUUUUCUUAUUUAAUUUUUUAGCUCCGUUAUUUUUACCUGCUUAGUUUAUAUAUACUGUUGUUUUAUUUGCUGGCAGACUGGACAGAGUGACCCUUGCCCUUUAUAACCAAAUUUCUGGAAAAUUCACGUAAUGUCACAUAAUGUUAACUGCAUGAUUAAUCAGCAGCACUUGUUGUGACUCUGGGCACAUUCAUCAGGUUUUCAGAGAUUUCUAACAAUAUGUGUCCAAUAUAUGUUUUUGGACACGUUUUUAAAAUGAUCACAAUCUGUUAGAAAAACUUUUCAAGUGAUUUAUCUUAAAGGAACAUGAUAGGGUCAGGAACACAAACAUUUAUUUCUGACCCUAUAGUGUUUAAUUCACCAUUUAAGUUGCUUGCCCCCCCUUAGCUCCCUUAGAAAGGGUGAAAACUCACCUUAUUUCCAGCACCGUGCAGGCCACUCCACGCUGGCUCAGCCGAUCCGCGUCCUUGGUGACAUAACCAGAAUUGCUGAUUUUUAGCUAAUCCAAUGCUCUCCCAUAGGGAAAGCAUCGGAUUGGCUGAAAUCGGCAAGGAGGUGGGAUGGGGCCAAACACCAUUUUAGCAAUCUCUAUGAGGAAAAUUCAGUGUACACAUGCAGAGCGUGGAGACGCUGAACGGCAGUACUGUCUACUGUGCAGCACUAGGGGGCAAUGUAAAAGGCAGUGUUUGCAUUAAAAUGCCUGCAGGCAUUGGCGGAACUACCGCGGUCUCAGGGAUCGCAGCUGCGACCGGGCCCGUCACUCCAGGGGCCCGACGACCCUGUAGACCCCUGCAACCGGGGUACCCACCAGCAUUUUUGUGCUGCCCAUGGUGCGGCCCAUGGUCUUGGGGCCACCCGAUGGCAAUGGAUUUCCUGGGGCCCGGUCAGUGCUGCGGUGCUUUAGUAAUGAUGUCAGUAAUGAUGUCAGAGCUGGGAGGAAGCCGUCAAUUCCUCCCAGCCAACGGUGCGCCGCGCAGGAGGAGAGGAGGAAGUCAAAGUGGAAGCUCUGACUCCCAUCAGCAUGAGGCAGCCACUGGACCCCAGGUAAGUCACUAAAUUUUUUUAACAGUGUGUGUGUGUUUCUGUAUAUCUGUAUGUGUGUUUGUGUGUCUGUAUGUGUGUGUUUCUGUAUAUCUGUAUGUAUGUGUGUCUGUAUGUAUGUGUCAUGAUCUUGUACAGGUCAGGUAGGAGACGAUUGUGUGUGUAAGUCUGUGUGUUUCUGUAUAUGUGUUUGUGUGUGUGUGUGUCUGUAUGUGUGUGUUUCUGUAUAUCUGUAUGUGUGUUUGUGUGUGUGUGUGUGUGUUUGUAUGUGUGUGUUUCUGUAUAUCUGUAAGUAUGUGUGUCUGUAUGUGUCAUGAUCUUGUACAAGUCAGGUAGGAGACGAUUGCCAGGGUUAACAUCAGGAUCUUUAUUGCGGUCUUCCGACUUUAUAAAAUAAACACUAUAUCCGAUGGGAUAACAGGUAAAACUAUAAAUUAAGUUAUAGGUUGGAGAAUUAAGAAUAACCUAUAAGAGAAAUUAGAGGCAAGUAAGUUGAAGGUAUACCGAAAACAGGAGUUAGGCAAUCUGCCCCAAAUAGAAUACAAUCAGGAAUGGAAGUAACUAAUAAGAAAACCUAUAGAUAUAAAAGUAUAGCUUACAUAGAAGGAGAAAUUAGACAGAAUAAUAAGAUUGCAGGAAAAGGAGAACUGAAGUUAAUAAGCCCCCUUUAGAAAUAAGGUUUGCUUGUACAGGAAAAUAAUACCAUGUAAUUAUUUUGAGUCCAGAGUGGUGUUAUGAGGCAGGUAUCGAGCAGAGAGCUUUUAUGGAUUUGAGCAGGUAAAUAUCAGGAUGGUGAGAUAAAGCUGGAUCAUUGUUAAGUUCAAGUUGGUAUUUUGCAGGUUAGAAGUCAAACAGGAAUGCAGAGGAGUUCAGGCUGGCAUUAAGCAGGGUUGGAAGCAAGUAGUUCAGCUGGCAUUAAGCAAGGUUGGAAGCAAGUAGUUCAGCGGGUAUUGAGCAGGGUUGGAAGCAAGUAGUUCAGCUGGUAUUGAGCAGGUUUGGAAGCAAGGCAUUCUGAAGCAAAUAAGAUAAGUUCACAGGAGCCAGGAUAUGAAGUGUUUCAGGCAGAUCAACAACUUCAAUGCAAAGGCAAUGAGGUGAGUUGGGCGUUACCUUUUGUAGGAACCCAAUUAGCCCAGGCAGGUGAGGAUGAUAAGGUGAGUGUCCAGAACUAGAGCCAAGGGAGGCUACUAGUGGUAAAACAUAAUCCGUGCAGGAACUUUUUUUUUUGUAUAUGUCUGUGUGUGUCUGUAUGUAUGUAUGUGUGUGUGUCUACAUGUCUGUGUGUAUGUAUGUGUGUCUUUAUGUACGUGCCUCUGUGUGUGUGUGUCUAUAUGUAUGGAUCUCUGUGUGUAUGUGUGUGUGUUUGUAUGUAUGUGUGUGUAUGUGUGUCUGUAUGUAUGUGUGUCUGUGUGUGUCUACAUGUAUGUGUGUGUAUCUGUUUGAUUGCAUGUGUGGGAGGGACGGGGACAUGUGGGGGGGAUUGAUGUAUGGUGGGCGGGGAUGUAUGGGGUGGGGGUAGAUGUAUGGGGGCGGGGACACAUGGGGUGCGGGGUAGACGCAUGGGUGGGGCCCAGUGCAAUAUUUGCUCCGGGGCCCCGUGGUUUUUAGUUUUGCCUCUGCCUGCAGGUAAUGAUUAUACUCACCAGAAUAAUUACAUUAAGCUGUAAUUGUUCUCGUGACUAUAGUGUCCCUUUAACAUCCAACAAUACAAUAUUAUCAUAUAAGAUUACAAUAAUAUUAGAAGCAAAUCGAUGCUCAAACACUUAGAAUUAUGAGUGAGAAUCAUAAGUAAAAAUGGGGAGGAGGUAGGGGAAAGAAAUUAUAAGAAAAUCGGGGAGGGGCAUUUAUUUCUUUUUAAACAGUAGUGUAUUCCUUUCUCUUUAUAGAUUCAGAACCCCCCUUUUUUGGUUUUAAAAAGAGGAAUGGAAUCUUACCUGUAAUUAACAUGGGGGACAGAGCACAGCAAUUGCCGUGCUUCACCAUUCCAAUGCUUCUCAAUUCUUCUCCAAUCCAAUCAUUUCCCUGAAAUUACUGUAAUCUUUUAGCAAUUAUGAAAAUUGCAGAAAAGAUAAUAAUCGACAAUGUCUAAAAAAAGGGCCAACAUCUACGCACCAUAACCACAGCAUUUACAAAUAUUGUUUUUUUGUUGUUUAGAUUAUCCUUUUAGUAGAGAAAAACAAUCAACCCCUGGGGAGAAAUCUUUACCCUUUCACAACGAUAUCGUUUCUUUUUUUUUUUUAUUUCCACACUCAUUGAAGGCCUUAUGCAGGUGUAGCCCCCCUCCUUUAAUACUAAAGAAGAUAAAACUAACAAACAAAAAAAAACGUAAAAAGAUAUAUGGCAAGAUAAGAUGACACCUGUGAUUCUGAAGCAUUAUACACACUAGAAAGCCAACGCAAGUAAAUAAUUACUCAAUAUAUAAGAAUAAUUGCUGUUGGUUUAUUGCUGGUCAUAUAUGCACCUCUCUGGGGAGUUUGUACGAGUCAUAAAACAACAUUCUAAAUGAUUAACUAGGUGCAUAUAAAAUAAGGAUAAGGACGACUCGUGAUCAGGUGCAUAUGGGCAAACAUUAAUUCAUACAGAUUGUAUGGGAUCAAUGAGGAAACAUUCAAUAAGGUUAGAAUACUGGAACUGAAGACAAAGGAGCUAUAGCGACUCCCAUCUAAUACAAAGUCAUAGAUAUGGCUGUUUAUGUUUAAUGGUUUUUAGAAACCUGCACAAUUUUUGUGUGCUAUAUUUUAAAUAUGCACCCAAAUUCUCUUCACUUUACAGCCUGACUUAACGCAUCUCUAUAAGGAAAGUUCAGUGUCUACAUGUAGAGGGUGGAGACACUGAAUGUCAAUUACACUGUGCAGCACUGCACCAGGAAGCACCUCUAGCAGCCAUCCGAGGAGUAACCAGUGGAGGUGUCCCUAGGCUGUAAUGUAAACACUGCAUUUUCUCUGAAAAGACAGUGUGUACUGCAAAAAGCCUGAAAUAAAUGAUUAUACUCACCAGAACAAAUACAAUAAUCUGCAGUUGUUCUGGUGACUAUAGUGUCCCUUUCAUUUUAAAACAUGAGACAGAUACUCAGUAAGACUUGCCAGUGACGUUGUAUGUGAAUGGUGAUAUGAUUGUCUCUGAAGUAAAGCAUUAUUUUUUUUUUUUUUAUAAAUAGAUAUUGUUUCUGUAAUCCUAGUAUUAAAUUUAUGUUUUUUUUUAUUUUAUUCAUAUUGUGCACAGUAACAGGUUUUGAGAAUUAAGUGAUUUGUUAAUUAUUCUGAAAAUAAUAUAAAUAAAAAACAGUGUCGAUAGUCUUCCCUGUUUCAGUCCCUGCACAAUAACAGGGGAGACCAAACACUGUCUGAGCCAAGGUGGAUGUAUAUGGCUGAAGGAUUUUGUCAUAUACUAAAAAGAGGGAUGUGUUUUCUCAGUUUUUACAUAUACUUCACUUAAAAAAAAUUCAAAUUCAAAACCUGAUGAACGGAUUAAGAUGUAAGAAAUGGUUUUGAGGUGACAGUUGCCAUUUAAGUAGCAAUUGCUGAGAAUUUAUAAUUAAUUUAGGGUCCCAGGAUUGCAGCCCUGAAAAUAGUAUAACCAUUACUAAAACUAUUUAUAAAAAUGCCAAUAUUCUUAUAUACACGCACGCACGCAUGCACGCACACACACUACCAGGAACAAACAUACACACAUGCCCAGAUACAAACACACAUACACACUCAUAAAUACACACAUUUUGCAGCAUGAUACCAGUUUGUGCAUUGGUUUUAUCACCCUCCUGGUUGUCACAUUGUAAGAGCAGGAGUGCUGUCAUCUUGGUGUCCAAGGGAAAGGGAUAUUUUUAAGUCCCCAGCUUUAUUACAUGGUAUAACAGUGCAGAGAAGCAACGGUGUCCCCAUCCUUAGCUGGUCCCUUGCAAACUUCUGGUUUCUACCCCCUGAUGGGAGCCCUAGCUACUUGAAACAUGUUGCACAACAUGAAUUAUAGACAAAAUAUUUCAAUAGUUAUGAAAAAAUAUAAAAAGAAAAAUAUACACAAAAAUUAGUUAACUGGGUAGUGUAGGAUAAUUAACUAUAUAUACAGGGAGUGCAGAAUUAUUAGGCAAGUUGUAUUUUUGAGGAUUAAUUUUAUUAUUGAACAACAACCAUGUUCUCAAUGAACCCAAAAAACUCAUUAAUAUCAAAGCUGAAUAUUUUUGGAAGUAGUUUUUAGUUUGUUUUUAGUUAUAGCUAUGUUAGGGGGAUAUCUGUGUGUGCAGGUGACUAUUACUGUGCAUAAUUAUUAGGCAACUUAACAAAAAACAAAUAUAUACCCAUUUCAAUUAUUUAUUAUUACCAGUGAAACCAAUAUAACAUCUCAACAUUCACAAAUGUACAUUUCUGACAUUCAAAAACAAAACAAAAACAAAUCAGUGACCAAUAUAGCCACCUUUCUUUGCAAGGACACUCAAAAGCCUGCCAUCCAUGGAUUCUGUCAGUGUUUUGAUCUGUUCACCAUCAACAUUGCGUGCAGCAGCAACCACAGCCUCCCAGACACUGUUCAGAGAGGUGUACUGUUUUCCCUCCUUGUAAAUCUCACAUUUGAUGAUGGACCACAGGUUCUCAAUGGGGUUCAGAUCAGGUGAACAAGGAGGCCAUGUCAUUAGAUUUUCUUCUUUUAUACCCUUUCUUGCCAGCCACGCUGUGGAGUACUUGGACGCGUGUGAUGGAGCAUUGUCCUGCAUGAAAAUCAUGUUUUUCUUGAAGGAUGCAGACUUCUUCCUGUACCACUGCUUGAAGAAGGUGUCUUCCAGGAACUGGCAGUAGGACUGGGAGUUGAGCUUGACUCCAUCCUCAACCCGAAAAGGCCCCACAAGCUCAUCUUUGAUGAUACCAGCCCAAACCAGUACUCCACCUCCACCUUGCUGGCGUCUGAGUCGGACUGGAGCUCUCUGCCCUUUACCAAUCCAGCCACGGGCCCAUCCAUCUGGCCCAUCAAGACUCACUCUCAUUUCAUCAGUCCAUAAAACCUUAGAAAAAUCAGUCUUGAGAUAUUUCUUGGCCCAGUCUUGACGUUUCAGCUUGUGUGUCUUGUUCAGUGGUGGUCGUCUUUCAGCCUUUCUUACCUUGGCCAUGUCUCUGAGUAUUGCACACCUUGUGCUUUUGGGCACUCCAGUGAUGUUGCAGCUCUGAAAUAUGGCCAAACUGGUGGCAAGUGGCAUCGUGGCAGCUGCACGCUUGACUUUUCUCAGUUCAUGGGCAGUUAUUUUGCGCCUUGGUUUUUCCACACGCUUCUUGCGACCCUGUUGACUAUUUUGAAUGAAACGCUUGAUUGUUCGAUGAUCACGCUUCAGAAGCUUUGCAAUUUUAAGAGUGCUGCAUCCCUCUGCAAGAUAUCUCACUAUUUUUGACUUUUCUGAGCCUGUCAAGUCCUUCUUUUGACCCAUUUUGCCAAAGGAAAGGAAGUUGCCUAAUAAUUAUGCACACCUGAUAUAGGGUGUUGAUGUCAUUAGACCACACCCCUUCUCAUUACAGAGAUGCACAUCACCUAAUAUGCUUAAUUGGUAGUAGGCUUUCGAGCCUAUACAGCUUGGAGUAAGACAACAUGCAUAAAGAGGAUGAUGUGGUCAAAAUACUAAUUUGCCUAAUAAUUCUGCACUCCCUGUACAUGCUCUUUGUUUUAAAAAUGAGUGUAAGCCCCCAGCUAUGUGAAUACUUCUAUUAACUUUCACUAUUGAUUACAUUUUUCAAGUCCUGUCAGUUUUUACCCUGCAGAGAAACAAAUUUCUUUGCAACAGCUACUUUCUAUUCCUCUGUAGAGGUACUUGUAAAUAGUGGUGUCCUUCUACCGUUGCUUAACAACUUUUUUAGGUCAAACUUCACUGCUAUAUUCUAGCAGUCAGGAGGUGGUGAGGGAGAAACUAUGGAGGUUCUAUAGGGAUUCUUUGCUGGCUACAAGAACAGCUUGUAAUGCUUUUGGUCAACCUUUGGCACUCCAGAUGUUGUGGACUACAUCUCCCCUAAUGCUUUGCAAGCAUGACAUGAGCACAGUCGCCUUGUCGGCCUCUACUUAAGAACCCCCACCAAAUACCCCAAUCCCCAAUAAAGCACAGACACCAUGGUUUUGGCAAAAUUAUAUCACAGCUUUAUUUGUAAUUAACAUAAAUUUAAAGGUCAUUGUCAACAGCAGGCCAACAUUGGCCUGCACAAUUAACAUCCUGCAUUUACAAUUAACCCCUUGACAAUGACCCACCCACCCCCACAUAACAUAACACCCAAACAUUGAACAUUUUAUUUAACAUGAACAUGAUCAUUGCCACCAAAGGGCACCAUCCAUUGCCACCAAAGGGCAUAGUGUAGGGGCAUACCGAGACACCCCAUACACACCCCGGUUCGGAGCUACCUACGAGCUCGAACCUACCAAACCAGUCCAAAGGCCUUCCUAUUAGCCCUGAACUCCAAACUUUUUCCCCAUCUCACACUUUUCACCCCCCAACUUUACUCUUUAUCCCCUGCACAGUGACCAAACGGGAAACACCUGAAAGCAAAGGGAGGGUGGGUGGGACAACAAACAGGUAGUGUAACUUAGAUUAAAGUGAUCCUUGGAUCUAAAAUGGCCACUACUUAUACUCCCCUUGAAACUCCACCCCAGCAUUACCAGUGACCAAACCCUGACCCCCUGACCUUUAGAUGGCCUAUCUCCUGGCAAUGUCAAGGCCCACUCCCCUUAGCUACGCUGCUCCAUGGGCUACAUUAUGGCUGUAAGAGCUUUAUGAGGGAUGUAGUCCACAACAUCUAGCGUGCUGAUGGCUACCUACCCCUGUUAAAUAUAUUAUGGGUUUUAAUUGGUAGUGUGACUGAUAAAUAGAUACCAAUUUGGGGACCCUGGAAAAAGGCUGCAAGCAGUCUGAUUAAUUUUCAACAAGCUUUAUUAUAUCAUGAACACAGGGCAACAAGAAAAGAAAAUGUGGAGUCUUAGACCAGAUUACCUACAGACACAUCUUAUGCAUUGUGUGCUAAAUAUCCUUUUAUACUGAGCUCCGUACAAAUUUCAACAAUGGUAUUUGACCAUUUUUAUGUGGUCUGUUAUUGUCUAACGUGCUGUAUGUGACAGUAAAUAUAAAUCUGCUUCAUUAACAUUUUUGACACCGACUGCAGAACGUUCUACUGGGUACAUUUACAUGGUGUUUAGGCAGAUUCUAUUGGAAAACCCACAGGAGCCUUUUUUUCAAGACACUAUUUCUGUAUAAGUAAAAUGAAUAAAAUAUUGUCUUUGGUUAAAGUGCUACUUAUUCAUCCCAUGUUCAGGGCUCCUGAUUAUCCCGCUUUGGACAGUGGAAAUUUCAGGGUCCUGUUCUCCCGAUUUAGUUGUGGAGUGUUAAUAUACAGGGAGUGCAGAAUUAUUAGGCAAAUGAGUAUUUUGACCACAUCAUCCUCUUUGUGCAUGUUGUCUUACUCCAAGCUGUAUAGGCUCGAAAGCCUACUAGCAAUUAAGCAUAUUAGGUGAUGUGCAUCUCUGUAAUGAGAAGGGGUGUGGUCUAAUGACAUCAACACCCUAUAUCAUGUGUGCAUAAUUAUUAGGCAACUUCCUUUCCUUUGGCAAAAUGGGUCAAAGAAGGACUUGACAGGCUCAGAAAAGUCAAAAAUAGUGAGAUAUCUUGCAGAGGGAUGCAGCACUCUUAAAAUUGCAAAGCUUCUGAAGCGUGAUCAUCGAGCAAUCAAGCGUUUCAUUCAAAAUAGUCAACAGGGUCGCAAGAAGCGUGUGGAAAAACCAAGGCGCAAAAUAACUGCCCAUGAACUGAGAAAAGUCAAGCGUGCAGCUGCCACGAUGCCACUUGCCACCAGUUUGGCCAUAUUUCAGAGCUGCAACAUUACUGGAGUGCCCAAAAGCACAAGUUGUGCAAUACUCAGAGACAUGGCCAAGGUAAGAAAGCCUGAAAGACGACCACCACUGAACAAGACACACAAGCUGAAGCGUCAAGACUGGGCCAAGAAAUAUCUCAAGACUGAUUUUUCUAAGGUUUUAUGGACUGAUGAAAUGAGAGUGAGUCUUGAUGGGCAAGAUGGAUGGGCCCGUGGCUGGAUUGGUAAAGGGCAGAGAGCUCCAGUCCGACUCAGACGCCAGCAAGGUGGAGGUGGAGUACUGGUUUGGGCUAGUAUCAUCAAAGAUGAGCUUGUGGGGCCUUUUUGGGUUGAGGAUGGAGUCAAGCUCAACUCCCAGUCCUACUGCCAGUUCCUGGAAGACACCUUCUUCAAGCAGUGGUACAGGAAGAAGUCUGCAUCCUUCAAGAAAAGCAUGAUUUUCAUGCAGGACAAUGCUCCAUCACACGCGUCCAAGUACUCCACAGCGUGGCUGGCAAGAAAGGGUAUAAAAGAAGAAAAUCUAAUGACAUGGCCUCCUUGUUCACCUGAUCUGAACCCCAUUGAGAACCUGUGGUCAUCAUCAAAUGUGAGAUUUACAAGGAGGGAAAACAGUACACCUCUCUGAACAGUGUCUGGGAGGCUGUGGUUGCUGCUGCACGCAAUGUUGAUGGUGAACAGAUCAAAACACUGACAGAAUCCAUGGAUGGCAGGCUUUUUGAGUGUCCUUGCAAAGAAAGGUGGCUAUAUUGGUCACUGAUUUGUUUUUGUUUUGUUUUUGAAUGUCAGAAAUGUAUAUUUGUGAAUGUUGAGAUAUUAUAUUGGUUUCACUGGUAAUAAUAAAUAAUUGAAAUGGGUAUAUAUUUGUUUUUUGUUAAGUUGCCUAAUAAUUAUGCACAGUAAUAGUCACCUGCACACACAGAUAUCCCCCUAACAUAGCUAUAACUAAAAACAAACUAAAAACUACUUCCAAAAAUAUUCAGCUUUGAUAUUAAUGAGUUUUUUGGGUUCAUUGAGAACAUGGUUGUUGUUCAAUAAUAAAAUUAAUCCUCAAAAAUACAACUUGCCUAAUAAUUCUGCACUCCCUGUACUGGCACUGAUGUGGUUGAAAAAAUACUGAAUUACCGUAUAUACUCGAGUAUAAGACGAGUUUUUCAGCACAUUUUUUGUGCUGAAAAACCACUCGUCUUAUACUCGAGUCACUGUCUGUAUUAUGGCAACUUACAUUGCCAUAAUACAGACCAGGACCGCCGGGCUCAUUACAAGCCCGGCGGUCCUGUUGGGGGCUGGCAGCGAGCUGUUACUUACCUUUCCUGCAACUCCUGUCAGCUCCCUUCUCCUCCGUGUCGGUCAGCUCUCCUGUCAGCUCCAGUGUAAGUCUCGCGAGAGCCGUGGGGUCAGAGCGUUGCCACGGGUUACUGUAGCAACGCUCCGCGCAGCACUCAGACCGCGAGACUUGCAGAGGGAGCUGACAGGGGAGCUGACCAGAACGGAGGAGAAGGGAGCUGACAGGAGCUGCAGGAAAGGUAAGUUACAGCUCUCUGCCAGCCCCCCCCUACACAGCCCAUCCACUGGACCACCAGGGAAUAAAAUUAAAUAAUAAAAAAUAUAAUAUUACAAUAAAAAAAAUAUUAAUAAUAUAAAAAAAUAAUAAUAAUAAUUAAAAAAAUAAUAAUAAUGCCCACCCCCCACCAAGGCUCUGCAUAACAUACACAAACACACACUGCAUUCAUACACACACACUGCAUUCAUACACACACAGACUGCAUUCAUACACACACACACACUGCACUCAUACACACACAGCACUCAUACACACACUGCACUCAUACACACACACACUGCAUUCAUACAUACACACUGCAUUCAUACACACACACACUGCAUUCAUACAUACACACUGCAUACACACACACACUGCACUAAGUUUCCCAGUUUUGGGGAGUAAAAUUAGGGGAUUUUGACUUAUAUUCGGGUCGACUUAUACUCGAGUAUAUACGGUAUUUCUUUUUUUCAUCCUCCUUUCUUUUUAGACUUCCGUAUGCUCAAUUAUACAUAAGGCUCAGAUAUUUGUGUAUAUUAUUUGGUGUUUCACUAUCUUUUUCUUCUCAUUAGUAAUUCUUAAUUCCUCUGUAAAUAUGUUGAAUGGCGUUUUGCCAUUGUAUUUUAGAUAGUAGCUAUUGCUGUUCAUUUAACAUUUAAUAUUGUUGAUAUUUUUAUAAAACAAACACUUCUAAGGGAAGCUGGACUUUCUUGCUCUCCAAAGACAUUCAAGUUUAUGUACUUUACCUUCCUGAAAUGAUGAUGAAUCAUUGCAUAACUCAAUGCAGUACAAAUGAUUGACCACCGUACCUGUUACAGAGCAGGCAUAGAUAACAAUUUUACACAUUCACCUGACAUUCUAUUGCUUCUCUACCUAUCAGCAGUGCAGGGAAUGAGGUCAUGUAUCACGUGAAAGGAAAUUUUGAAGUGAUCGAGUGUUGUCAGCCCAGGCUAAAGACAAACCUGUUGAACUAUCACUUUAUUACAGAACCGUGACCUUCAAAAUGUUUGCGUAGCAGCUUGCAGUGGCUUGAUGCAACCAAAUUGUGAAUUAUAGCUCUACUAUAUGUAGCAAAUUAUAAUUUUUUUAAUAUUAUGAAUGUGUUCUGAAGCUGUGUAAGAUUUUUACUUUGUUUUCUCUGCCGUGAAAAACCUAUUGGUCUAUAAAAAGGCAAGUCCAACUUAUCUUAUUAAGAGAUCAUGCAUUUAGACUGGAAGAAAGGAGAUUUCAUCUAAUGCAAAGGAAAGAGUUUUUUUACAGUAAUAACAGCAAGGAUGUGGUAUUUCAUGCAUAAAGAAGUGGUCUGCACAGAUAUUUAAACAGCGAUUGGAUGAAUACUUGCAUAAACAUAAUAUUCAGAAAUAUCAUUUUUAAUUUGUGGGGUAAUAGCUUCAUGAUCCAAGCAGCGAUCUGACUGCCAUUCUGGGGUCAAGGAGGAAUUUAUUCCCAGUUUGUUGCAAAAAAGGAAAGCACUUCAAACUUUUUUUUGCCUUCUUUUGGAUUAACAGCAAAAGCUGAUGUGAGCAAAGCUGAGCUUGAUGGAUGUGUGCCUCUUUUCAGUCUAUGUAACUAUGUUAGAGUGCACUAUGGCACACAUACAAAAUGUUAUAUCUCAUACAUGUAGAAAUCCGUGCUCACUCCGUUACACUAUUGGAAGACAGAUCCCUCCUACCAACAAAGGGAACUAUAAGAAAUCAAAGUCAAAGCUUGUGAUCUAUUUGAUUAGUAGUGAUUUAAACUCCUUAAUUACAUGUUAAAAACCUUUCAGAACUAUAAGGCUUAACGUGAUGAGAUAUUUUGAAAAUACCUUUUCUAAUUUCCAAGUAACCGAGGGAAUGUUCACAAAGCAUUUUUCUUGCUUCUUUAAGUAAUGAAAAAAAAAUGUUUUAAAAAGUUACACCAAGAAUCAUAAUCCUCAUAAUGAAACACUGCACAUACAGACUCCAGUCCCAGUGACUACUUCAAAUCAGCAAAGUAGUUAUGGUUAUUGGAGUAACCCUUAAUAGCUAAUUUUAUAUAACCCAGUCUACCUUAAUCUCAGUUGUUCAAGGUUUUGUAUUUAUUUUGGGAAUAAUACUAAAAAAAAAAAAAAAAACGUCAACAUAUAAACAGUUUAUUAAUAAAUGUUAUGAAAUGUUUUAAAAGGUUAAUCAGGCUAGUAACAAUAAAGAUAUGGUAAAAAAUGGUGGUGAUUCCUUUUACUUUGUAUCCGGUCUUGUUAACCGAGCCGAUUAUGUCACAGAUCUAAUAAAACACCAUUACUACUGUCACUAAUAUGAACAAACAUUGAUAAAGCUUGCUGUCUUUAUACCAGUCUGUGCUAUAACUCACCGCUGCGCUGGUGAUGUGUUAGUAUGUAACAUUACAGUUACAUAAUUACAAUAAAGAUAAAAAUCGGCUCUUUUUAUACAUCGCUUCCUGGUAUUCAGACGGGUGUUGACCUCUUUACCUCACAUUAUACCAUGAAAUUCCGUCAGACGGGUUUAUCUGACCACAGUAUCUCCUGAUUUUAAUUUCUUCCCAAAUGUUUACUUGUCAAGCAGAAAAAUAGAAGGCAAAGAGGUAUUGUUCAUCCCCAUAUAGGCAGGGCCGGUGCAAGGACAUUUGGCUAAACAGGUGAAGAUGCAUUUUGCUGCACCCUGCACCCCCCCCCCAAAAAAAAGUAUCUUAACCUGUGUACCUGUGUCCCCUUUAGUGUUUCAUAUCCCCUCUUAAAUGUCUUACCCCUUUUGCUCCUUUGUGUGUGUGUUACACACCCUUUAGUGUAUUAUAUCACCCUAUUUAGUGUGUCUUAAACACCCUUGUUUCUCUUACUUCCCCACCAGCCCCUUUCUGUGUAACUUUGCGUUACUGUGGGGGAUAUAGCAGAAUUGUGUGGGAUACAGACUGUCAGGAUUACAGUUGAUCCAGCCCGCAGAAUAGUAUCACACCUAGGACUAAGGAUAACGUCUAAUCGGCCCUUAGAAUGGGCGGACUUAACGUACCAGAGAAUAGUCAAAAUACUAGCCGAGGUCAGGGACACAGAACGAGACACAGUGAUAAGGAAAAGCCAAUAGUCAAGGAUGCCAGAAGUCAGGGAAGUCAAAACAAAGCCAAAGUCAAAAACCAAAGUCAAAAAUCAGGAACACACUCUAACCAUCUAAGGGAAACCACGACAAGGCAAUGAGUUUAAGGAAUAAGUGAAUUUAAAUAACUCUCUUGCAGAUCCGAUUAGCCAUACCUAGCCUUUGACCCCAAAACGUGCAUGUGCGUCUUUUGCGUGACGUCACCCGCACGUCAACGUCGUCUUUACCAUGGAUGGACGUGGGGCUAUAUAAUAGCGUGGGUCCGCAGUGGCCGGAGUCCACCAACAUGUCGCAAAAGCCAGGCAUCAUAGCCAAGCGGCACUCCUCUUAUUCUUAGGAAGGUAAUUAUCUCCGUGUUUGUCACAUGGAGACGAAGGAUAUGUGACACAGACGUUAUUAUUAUUUAUAUAGCGCCAACAAAUUCUGUAGUGUUGUACAAUAGGGUUGUAGUGGGGGGAUAAGGGCAGUAUUGUGUGGGACAAGGGCUUUAGCGGGGGGGGAGAUAUUGGUAGUAUUGGGGGAUAGAGGCUUUAGAGUGGGGGAAUUGGGGAAGAAUUGUGUGUAAUAUGGACUUUAUUACUAUUAUUUAUAUAGCGUCAACAAAUUCUGUAGAGCUGUACAACUGGGUUUUACUGGGGGAUAGGGGCAGUGCUGUGUGUGGCACGGGCCUUAGCUGGGGGAGAUAGCAGUAGUAUUGGGGAAUUGAGGAACCUUUGACUAUAACCCUAACUCCUAUUGCUCCUAACCUAAAUGUAAUUUCUAACUCCAUCACCCAUAACCCCUUUCGUUAUUUUGUAUUGUAAAAAAACUUCCAAAUCCAGAACAUUAGCUUAACUAAGUGUCAAACCUUACCUGCAGUUCUAUUUUCCUCAUAGGCCAACAGUCACUACCCAGGAUUUCUAAUAUGAAGUUUAAUCAUCUGCUUUAUUUUACAAAUAUGUAAUCCAGUGCAUCUGACAGUCAGCAUAGAUAAAUAUACAAAUAAGACAAAUGAAACAAGGUUUCUAUUUACCUCCUCGUUUGCAAUGUUUACCAUGGCAUUGUCCUGUUUGAAGUGGAUUACGGUGGUACAUGUUUAAUCUUUAAUAUAAAUUUAAAAUAAAAUGAGGCAUCACAUACUAAAAAGGUUAACAUACUGGUUACAUGUGAUUUUAAAUGUUUUAUUCAAUGGUAUAAAUUAUAGAGAGGUGAAAAUACAAAUUUAAAGGGACACUAUAGGCACCAAAACAACUUUAGCUAAACAAAGCACUUUUGGUGUAUACAAAUGCGAAAAGAUAAGUCCUGCGCACACUCCCAUCACUACUGGGCAGCAGCAAUGACUACAAUACACAUCAGCCCCAAUAUAUUGUAAAAACCAAAGAAAAACAAGUUGCCUGCGCUCUCUCCUUAAUCCCUAUGUAUUUUUAAACAAAUGGAGGUUUUUUAGUUACCUCCAAUGGCCAUGAGAGGAUAAGCCCACCUGCCAAUGUCAAGGCAGACCCCCCUAGGUGGCUCCUAACUCUAACCAUUCAGCUUGCUUCCUUGAGACUCUGGCAGAAAUAUCUCUAAUGAGACAGAAGGGGGUAUUUUUUUAUAUACACCCCUAUAUAUUAUUAACCCUUAAUAGGGAACACACGGGUUAAUUAAGGGUAAAUAAAUGUAUAGGGGUGUAUAUAAAAAAAUACCCCCUUCUGUCUCAUUAGAGAUGUUUUUUGCCAGAAGCUCAAGGAAGCAAAGUGAAUGGUUAGAGUUAGGACCCACCUAGGGGGGGUCUGCCUUGAGUUUUAUUUGUUUAUGCCACCCUAGCCACACCUCACUGCAUGUGACUGACACAACCUUCCUAAACACUUCCCAUAAAAAGAGAUCUAAUGUUUAAACUUCCUUUAUUGCACAAUCUGAUUAAUUUGGAAUUUAUCUCUUGCUCUGGUAAUAGUCGGUUUAAGUCUGCAGGAGCCUCUUGUGUGUGAGCCUGUUACUCACACAGGCUGUAUGAAAAUAAAUGGUUUCACUUUCAAUCAGAUGUAACUUAUUUUAAAAGCUUUUAUCUCCUCCUCUGUAAAUUAAACUUCAAUUAUAUUCAGGAGACUCCUGUAAAGUCAAAGAAGCUAUUAACAGAGCAGGAGAUGUGAAAAUCUAAAUUAAACUAUAUUUUAAUAGGGGAAGUGUAAACAAUAGAUGACUCUGCGGGAAGUGUUUGGAGGGCUGUGUAAGUCACAUGCAAGGAGGUGUGCCAGGGCUGUAUAAACAAAGUGAUUUAACUCCUAAAUGGCAGAGAUUUGAGCAGUAAGACUGCAGGAGCAUGAUCUAUAUACCAAGACUGCUUCAUUAAGCUAAAAUUGUUUUGGUGACUAUAGUGUCCCUUUAAAAAAAAAAUAAUUUUCAUGUAGACCGUGUCAGUCACAGUCAGUAGACAUGCGGCUAGGGCUGCAUUAACAGAAACAAAAUUGAUUUAACUCCUAAAUGGCAGAGAAUCCAGCAGCAUUACCACAGGGUUAUGAUCUAAACAUUAAAACUGCUUCAUUAAGAUAAAAAUGUUCUGGUGCUUAGAGUAUUCCUUUAAGCCUCAUUUUUACUCUCAGAAUCUACUCAUGCAGAAUGUAAGACUCCUUUACCCUUAACACACAGUUGAAACUCACUGUAAUGGAGCCCCUGUGAUAUGAGUUAAAUUGUGCUUCUGUAAAAUGAGUUACUUGUAGUCCAGUGCUGGGACAGACUGAUCAGCCUGUAGUGAGAUCACCAAGCAUGAUUAUAUCUGUCCAAGACAAAGCCGUAGAGACUUUGUGAUAGCAAAGCGACAGAGCCAAGGCAACAAAGCCAUUACAUGAAGUUGCAGUGGCUUUUGGUGCCUAGUCUGUCCCUCUCCGGAUUCACUCUGACUCUGAGCAUUCAGAAGGAAACCUCUCGUACUUAUAUAGUGUUCUAUUUUUAUCAGUUAUUUUGCAAACGUAACACGUCGGUCAUGGUAUAUGCAAACAAUGUACGUUACAUUCCGUUGCUCACUUCCUCUUCUUAGAAUUGUCCCCGGGCAAAGGAUCUCUCCCUUGUGAUUGGAAAGCAGAAUGUCUCAUGAUAUCAGACUACCGUUCUAGAGGAAGAAACUGCUCUAAAGAAUCACGUUAUAAGAGCUUAGAGUCAGAUCUGUCCCACAGCUCUACAUUUGUAUAAUUCAAGAGUGACAUUUAUUAGAAAUGCUUUUCUCCCAGGGCUACCCUGGGUUAUCAUCUUUUACUAAAACACCCAUGAUGCUUUACCAGUUAUAAUUUGGCAAAGUUAUAGGGGGGGUUCUGGUUUUACAUCCACUCGGCUUCUACCUUUUGGCUAGCCUGUUUAAUUUUUUUUGUUUCGGAAUAAAAUGGCACGAUUCUUCAAUCGCAGCAAACAUAAUAAUUUAAAAUAGUUGUUUAUAUAAUGUAAAUAAUGUGCUUGUAAAGAAUGUCCCACCCCUCUGUUGUUUGUUGUACAAUUUCUACUUGUUCUGUGUAGCUGUAGAAUUGACACUGUUGUACCAUACCAGAAUCAUUUGAAGGUUAAUUGUCCAGAAUAAGUUAAUGGUUCAUUUUUUUUUUUUUUUUAGUAAUAAUCAUCUUCUAGAAUUCCAAAAUGAUGCAUGUGAACGUAUACUGAG
rnacentral:lncRNA from 1 species